AAAAGGACCGGAUCGGUCGCCCCGGUCACCACGAGGUAAUCGCGCAGCGCGAUGGCAUGGGCGCCUUCCUC
rnacentral:sRNA from 1 species